rnacentral:lncRNA from 1 species
UUCUCUUGUUGUAAGGAACUUGUGUUUCCUUGGUUGAAGUCUUGGAGUGUAGUAACUCCGAGUAAAGGUGUUGAGGCUUGCGUCCUCAAGUUGUAAAGGUUUGUUAAGAACCCGGAAGCUUGACAAGUUAGUGGAAAAUCUCGAUAGAGUCUCUCGGGGACUGGACUAGCCACACGUUGUGGUAAAUCAGGAUAUAUCUGUGUGUAAG